CCCUAGCUAGACCGAAAUCCCUCCCCGACCCCUCUCAUUUGUCUAGAUUUGAAGGCCCGACGCAGCUCUCUGUCUCUCUCGAUCCCUCUCCUCCACCCCGCCGCCACCCACCCUAUCCUCCACCCCGCCGGCACCCUCUCCUCCGGCAAGGUCGCUCCGUCUCGAUCCCUCUCCUCCCGCCAGAUCGCCCCGUCCAGGUCCCUCUCCCCCCGCAUAUCGCCCCGUCCCGGUCCAUCUCCGCCCCGUACUGUCCCUCUCCCGCAAGGUCGCAAGGACACUCCGACGUCUUGGUUACCUGUCCCUCUCGCCGCCGGUAAGGCUUCUCCUCUCGCUCCCUUCCCCACCUCUCUUCUCCCCCUCCCUCUCUCUGAUGCAUUUUUCUUCUUGAACCCUAACCCUAACCUGAACCCACCUGUUCAGCAGGACGCCUCACUCCAGCCACCCGAUCUGGGCAGCCCACGGUCGGUCAACUCCACCCCCGGAGGACCAAGGAGCAAGAAGCACCGGGGCUCUUGGUCUGGGAGCAAGCAGGGUAUGCUUCGCAUCUUUCAAUUAGAGUGGUUCUUCAGUUGGUUGCUGCAAUAUAUUUGCUUGGAUACAUUGUCACAACAUUGUCAUAUGGACUAGGUUGUUAUUUCCUUUGAUUGCUGCAAUAUAUUGCUCCAUAAGAUCUAGACAGGUUCUUCGGAUAAUUUUGCUCUGUUUGGAUUAGCUAAGUGACUGGGUGACUGCUUAUAGGCCAUGUGUAGAGUUUUAAUUCAAGAACAUCAGUCAGGAGUCCUAGAUUAACAAUGACUGCUUUGAGCAUCAUUCAUACAUGAGGAAUAACUAAUUCUUGUUCCCUAUCAAUGUGUGCUGGAAGCACUAUUUUGCAGUAUAUGCGACAUAUAUACUACUCUCCAAUCAAAGAACAACCUACCACAAAAAGAAGUAUAUACAGUCGUUUCUUCGUAGGAUUAUAUACUAUUUUGUGAUGUAUAUAUUUUUAGACCGGUAUAUACUGCUUAUAACAAAAGCAUACAGUUUUCUUGUGCAAUUUUUUAGUUGCUUUCUUGUGCAAUUAGCAUUGCGACCAAGGAUUACGAGUCGACGAGUCGACGAGUCGUUCCGAGGUUGAGACUCAUAGACUAAUCGGACUAGUCUUAGUCUAGUGCUGGACUAGUCGACAUAGUACUGUAGUACUCAACUACUAAUACAUAGUAGCAGUAUGGAGUAGUAUGUAGUAAACUGUACAGCACAUUACAGGCCAGCAGUGCUAGCCAACACUAGUCAGGCCCAGCCCAGCCCAGCGCCACACAGCACGCCCCCACCAGCUGGCCCAUUUGGGCCCAAGUGGCUAUCCUAUACUUAACUCACGUCCCAGCCACUGGAACCCUAAGAUCCCAAUCGAUCCCAACUCGCCGCCAGUGCCAACACGCACGGGAGCACGUGCGCGUGCCCUGCGCCUCUGGCCGCUUCCGCCGGCGAGCUCGCCGACCACCGCCGUGCCUCCUCCCUUCCUCCUCUCUCUCUCUCUCUCUCUCUCUCUCUCUCGUCUCAGGGCCGCGCUCGCCUACGGGUCAUGGCCACGGCCGCCGCCCGAGCACGAGCUCCAGCCGGCGGCCGCGCCUGGCUGCGACAUCCGCCGUCCCGGUGAUGAGUGGCGGCAGCCUCGUCCAGCAAGCUCAUUUAUACCUCCAAAGUUUUGAGUCGCUCGACUCGAUUUGGUCGACUAGCCCAGACUAGUCGUCGACUAGUCCAUCCACGGCUCGACUCGGUCUGCUAGUCUACACGAGAAAUGCAGUCGACACUCACUUUGCGACUCGUCGACUAGUCGAGCGACUAGUCUAGACUAGUCGUUCGACUCGUAAUCAUUGAUUGCGACCAAGGAGUAUCUAGUACUAGCGAGAAGAUUAUAUACUAAAUAUUUAAAUUUUAAUUGGAGUACUGUGGCCAAGGGUUUAGGAGUUUGUACUUAAUUUUUUAAUUGGAGAGUAUAUACUUUUUUUAUUAGAAUAUAUACUUCUCGACCAAAAAAAGGAUAUACCCAGCUGAUAUAGCAGUAUAUUCAGUUAUUCAUACGAAUGAUGCAUACUCUCUGCUGAAAUUGAAUUGAAGUAUAUCCACAUGAAUGAAGUAUAUACUCUGCUGAAAUUGAAGUAUAUUCACUAAAUUUGAUACAUCCAUAGAGAAAUGUAUGAUAAGGCAUGCAUAUAUUACAUAUGCAUUCUGGAGUGGAUAUCUAGUCUACAUUCAUUUGUUCUUCACUGCAAAAGCAUCUUCUUGUUGUUGUUCUGUUUGUUGCCGACAAGCACACGCACGGUGGGCAGCACGACGUUAGGAGUCCAACGCAUCGAAAUCGCAGGCACUCCAUGCCAUGCUAUCCAUGGCCUCCAGAUGACACCUUGGGAAAUUCUACCUGCAUGCAUAGAGCUUAGAUAAGGGGUACAGCCAACUAGAUGCCUACCUGAGCAAGCAAUGAAUUAGUCACGGAAAGAGUGAUUGAUGCAUGCUUUUGUAGCUCAAUCUGAAGUUCGUAGACCAGAAAUAAUAUUGAAUAAAUGAUGCACCUUGACGAGUUAAAUUGUCGGUGGCAUCUCAUCUUCUCAUCCUCAAGUUUGAGUUGCGCCAACCACAUCUAAUGUGCCUCGUCGUCGAGUCGACAAGCGGCCGCCGGCUGCAUCUUGUCUCCAAGCCCUAAUUAGUAGGUGGAUUGAUUUUAUUGAAAGAAGAAUGAUGCAUGUUAAUGCGGUGCUAACAAGAUUUGAAUCUGAAUGUGCCUUAUCCCUAUUAGUAUGGAACAAACUUUCAAAGUCCAUGGGACCACUUCUGAUUAGCACCUAAUCAACUAACUAAAUGGUAAGGAGGUUUGUUGCGAUGGCACAAUAAACAACAGUGGAGAAUAAAAAAGAAAUGACACAUGGCAUAGGAGUAUGUACUCCUAGGUGUACCAACCCAUUUUCCUAUAUAUAUCCUCUGUUUUAAUAUGUAGUCUCUUAUCGACUUAGUCUCGGUCCUACUUAACCUACUCGGUUGUUGAUGGUUUGUCGCCAUUACCUUUCGAUUCAUGAUAAUUGUGCAAAUGAAGUGCAAGUUAACCUUUGAGCAACUUCUAUAUCAAGUUGAGGUAUUUUUUUACCCUUUGUAAAGAUUGUUGCAAGCUAAAGCUUAUCGUGUCACACUUUGAUUUGUCUUCUUGGCUGUCACAUCUUUCACUUUGAGCAAUUUGUACAACCAUUGUGCCCUAUGAGACCAUAUGUCACCAUUUCUCAUCAUAUUUUGCAGGAAAUAUUGGGUGAAGUGUGAUGCUGAACGGACAGAACGAAGAAAGGAAGAUCCUUGAGCAAUGAAAAUCUUUGUUGGGUGGUGCUAAUAAUGCAAAGAUUCAGUUUUUAUGUAACCUUGGAUAGACUCUGAUCAUUUGAUGUUGUUGUGAACCUUUUUCGUAUUGCAAAGAUUAACUUUUUACAAAGUCUCAUAUUGAUGUUUUAUGUAUUGGCAUGGUUCAGUUUAAUGCAAAACAUUGCUACGUGUGAACAAACAAGCUGUCAAUGUUGGUGCUGGUAGAGAUUUAUUCAUCCUAUUUAUUCCUAGCACAAAGGCGUUCGUUGGUGCUGGUACAAUUUGGUUCUGGUAUAGAUUUGUUUACAGAUGCUCAUUUUGGUUAUGGUAUAGAUUUGCCAUCAAAAUCCUAGUGGCAGCCAAACAUGAAAUUUGGAUUUGGAAUCUAGAUUCAGCCAAAUGAAAUCUUGAUAGAGAUUUCAUUUCAUUUCAUUU
rnacentral:lncRNA from 1 species